AUCAAAAUGUUCUUGUUCACUCCUAGUGACCCAGUGAGUAGACUUAGAGAGCUGGCGAAAGGUAACUCAGGCUGAAGCGGUUUUACAAACGCUGUGCUGCAGCUCACAAAUUGCAGAUAACAAAGUGAAUUAGACAUCAUAACACAGAUGGUAACAAGAGAAUUCUCGCCAGUUUCCUAUCAAAUUUUCUGCAACAGAAAUAUACUGUUUCAUCAUGAGGAAAUCCUCUCUGUUUUCUGAUUCCUUCUGCUCAUUCCUGUGCCAGCAUUCCACGACCUCUACUUGCAAUUCAGCAACGACCCUCACUCAAGUCCCCUGCCCUGCGGGCAACAAGCACAGAGAACUCCUGCUCCAUGAGUUGGCAUGAAUGGGAUUUUUCCAGCCUGAUGCCUCAAAGUUCCAAGAGGUUGCAUAUUUAUGGGAAUGACAAUGGUACCACUACAAGGAAGCUGAUGUUCGUCUUUUCUCUGUGGAAACUGGAACCUUAUUCAGGUCCCUUAAGAUUCUGUUUUUUCCUAUUUACUCAUUUGAAUGAAGAACAAACUGCAUGGGUGUGAAUCACCCAGUGAAUCCAUGGACCUGACUGGAGAAGGUGUUCUUUUAAGACCUGAAACAGAAGGAAAGUUAAUAAGAGUAUGUAUCACCCCUAAAACAAUUUUGUGGUUCAUAACAAAUAUUUUUAAAUGUCUUUGCUUCAUUUCCAGAGAAAUUAAACAGACUCAUAUAUAAUCUGGAGCAAGAGGUAGGGGAGGUUACUGAAGUACUUAUGCAUCUUGAUGGAUUCCAAAUUAUUCUUGCAUAAAUAGAUGAAAAUAAACUUGAAGUAAGAGAAUUAGCAUGCAUCCUGAAAGCAAAAUGCAAAUUUGGUCUGAGGCAACUGAACUACUAUCCUAAGAACUGGUUAACGUGAAUAGCCAAUGGAAGCACAGAAGUAAAAGUGAAUGGGCUCCGAAAGGGAGCAGACUCUUCAUUUUCACUCAUGAAUAAGGCAUGCAGAGAAAUGUAUCAAACUCUCAAGAAACAUAGUAUUUCCUUGAUCUUUUUUGUCCUUGAAGUGCUUGGAAGAUUCUUUUCAAAAUAGUUUUAUAUCUUUAGAAAAGUAUUUUUCUAAGGCACAUUCUCACACAUCAGGAGUUGUUACUUAAAACAUGGAGCAAAAUUAUUUUUGCCUUCUUAUUUUUAAUAUUAACAUUCACUAAUUAGUUGAAACCAAUGUUGACUUUCUUAAAAAUCAUCGCUGAAUCUCUAUCAUGUCAGGUAUUGGGUAAGAACUAGAGAUGCAACAGUGAACAAAAGUAAAUAAAACCCUGUUGUCCAAGAGUUUGACUUCUAAAGGAGACUCAAGAAUAAACAUGUGGGGCCCUUAUUGUGGCAGGUUAAGCUGCUGUUAGCAAUACAGACAGCCCAUUUGAGUGUCAGUUAGAGCCCCAGUUGCUCCACUUCUGAUCCAAUUCGCUGCUAAUGUUCCUGAGAAAGCAAUGGAAUAUGGUCCAAGUCCUUGGACCCCUGCAACCACAUGGGUGACCAAGAUGCAGCUUUGGAAGCUUUGGCCUGGCCCAGCACUGGCCAUGUGGCCAUUUGGGGAUUGAACCAGUGCAUGUAAGACUUCUCUCUCUCCCUCUCUGCGUAAUUCUCCCUUUCAAAUAAAGAAUGCACCUUUAAGAAAAGGACAAAGAAGUAACAGCAUAAAUUUAUAAUAUAUCAUUUGAUCAUACAUGCUAAGGAGGAAAAUAAAUUGUGGUAAAGCAGUGGAGUAGGGAGAAAUGAAGAGUAGACAUUCAGGAGAGGGCUGAGAUAAGUUGGGCAAGGGAGUAUUAUUUGCUCUAGUAAAGUUCUCAAAUACUUAAUCAAAUGAAAAGUCAAUAAUGAGAAUAAUUAAAGGUAGAGCAUCAGUCCUAAGAGCAAAUACAAGGUCAAAUAUUAAUGAUAAAAAUCAUAGAAGUAGUAAUAAAAUUAACAACUGUGGCAACAGGUACAAUUUGUUAAAUAUAUGCCAUAUAUUAAUCAGUUGUUCUGAUUACUGUAGUAUUGUGUGUAAAGAAAUUUAUUUAUUUAUUUAUUUUAGAGGCAAAGAGCAAGUGAGAGACAGAAACAGAGAGAUAAAGAGGGAAACAGAAAGCAAGAGAGAGUUUGUUCUUCCAUCUGCUGGUUCACUCUUCAAACACCCACAAUAUCCAGGACUGGACUGGGCUGGGAGCUGGGAAUUCAGUACAGGUCUCUUGUAGUUGGCAAGAACCCAAUCACUUGAGCCCUUACUGCUACCUCCCAAUGUUUGUACUAGCAUGAAGUUGGAGUUAGGAGCAUAGUCAGGUAUUGAAUCUAGGCACCUUGAUGUGGCACAUGGGUGUCUUAACCUCUUAAGCCAAAUGCCCUCCACUGUAUAUUAUACUAGCUGUUUUGAUGCUCGUAAGGGUCUUACUUUGUUUUUUUUUUUUUUUUUGUGCAUGGAAGAGAAUAUUAAUGUAUUUAUUUUAAAUUAUUUUAAGAGAGUAUUUCAGGCAUGGAAAGCCAAGACACUCUGGCAAAAGAUCUCUGCGAGUGAUAUCCCAGUGGAAAGAACAGGUCUUCAAAGAAGGAGGUACCUUUCUCUGAAGGGAGGAGAGAACCUCCACUUUGACCAUGACCUUGUCUAAACAAGAUAAGAAUCGGAGAACUCAGAGGGCUUCCAUAGCCUUGGAAACUCAUGACUGGAGCAUAGGGAGAUUACUGAUGCCAUAGACAGGAGUGUCAAUUGGUAAAGUCAACAACAGGAGUCACUGUGCACUUAUUCCUCAUGUAGGAUCUCUGUCCUUAAUGUGCUGUGUAUUGAGAUUUAAUGCUAUAACGAGUACUCAAACAAUAUAUUUCACUUUGUGUUUCUAUGGGGGUGCAAACUGUUGAAAUCUUUACUUAAUGUAUACUAAACUGAUCCUCUGUAAAAAAAAAAAAAAAGGAAAGAAAGAAAGAAAUUCUCAACUCCCAACUUGACUCUCACUGGGAUU